rnacentral:sRNA from 1 species
CUGGCUCACGGUCAGUGCUCACGUUUGGGCAGCUGCACUUGGGCGCUGCUGACACAGGAGAUUGUUCCUGCCUGAUUCAUAAACAUCGUGAUUGACUUUUGAUUGCUGUCACGUCUAAUGUGGCUGCUGCCUCGUGUCACAUCUGAAACUCAUCUGUACCUCACUUAGAAAGUCGACAGAAACCUAGUGGGACCAUUGAAGAAUUCCAAACAGGCAAGUGACAGGAACAUAUUUGCAUGUUAGAAGAAUCAGGCUGGCAGCAGUAUUGUGAUUAGAAUGAAGGGGAAGCGUCCAAAAACAGACUGGGGAACCAAUAUGGAUCUGCCUCUAGCAUGCGGAAAUAUCUCUCUACACUGACCUAACUGACUUACUAAGCUUGUGGUUUGUUUAAAGGAAGCCACAUGAAAAUUGAGUUUGGGCCAAUAGAGUGAACUGGUUCUCCAUUCUCUAGCAUCCUUCCCCAUGCAACCCCCCUAUCCCUGCCAAGUUUCUGGGCACCACAGAUUGGAAAGUAGCCUCCUGUAGGUAGUUGCCCAUGUUAAGUGGUGGGGUGUCUUUCUGUCUUCCCUUCUUGGUCUCACCUG